rnacentral:piRNA from 1 species
UCAAAUCCUUUUUUUGUCACU